UACCGCAGCCAUAUCACCCUGCUGCCUAAGAGCGGUUACUCACUGAAGCUAAGCAGGGCUGAGGCUGGUCAGUGUCUGAAUGAGAGACAAAAAGAGGAAAGCUAGGUUGCUGUUGGAA
rnacentral:rRNA from 1 species